ACUCGGGUUUUCUAUUGCACGGUGCCUGGAAUUAUCUGUCUGCUAUAUUUUUAAUGUCUAGAUUAUGACCAGCAGGUUGCUCUUUCUGAGGCAUUGUGUAGAAUGACAACUAGAACAUCAAGGAAUGACCUUGUGCACCAGUGGUUCGAUGAUGACAUCCUUGCUGAAGGUUUCAAGGAAAUUAAGGAUCGAGAAUUUGAGACAGACAGUCGAAGGUUUCUGAAUCUCCUCAAUGACAG
rnacentral:lncRNA from 1 species